rnacentral:lncRNA from 1 species
AGCCACGCUACCUAACCUUGGACCAGCUCCCUCUGUGGAAGCAUCAGUGUCACAUCCAGAAUCAGUCUCAUUCUUAAAAUCAAGGGUUGUUUCCUUCCAGUCCUUGGUGUCUACACUCUGCUGGGGGUAAAAAGAACACACUGGAUGGGGAGAGAGCUUCUGGGCAUCCAACUGUUUUGGUGUAGGGCACGGAACAAGUGCCAUGACACCCCUGAACUGUUUAGCCACCCUGGCCAAUGCUAAUGACCCCCGGCCAUGCCCUCAAUCCUGAGUGUGGUGCAGUUCCGAUGAAAAUGACUUGUGAAAGAGCUUUUCAGAGCUUAGCUCAUCAGAUGAAUGGGAGCAGUGGGGAACAUUCUAGUUAAGGUCAGCAUGCCCCAACCAUGCCCAUACUCCUUCAUGGGUCCCCUCUGGGGGCCCUUUUGGUCCAAAAGCUGACCCCACCCCCCAAUGACCGGAGUGGAAGCCCAGGGCCCGGUACUACUACUGCAGGCAAUGCCAACUCAGAAUGACCGGAAAACGUCUUCCAGCCAGGGUCAGCCUGAGAAGCAGAAAAUAAGAAGUUAGAGAGUUAGCAGAGGAAACAGACAGCUACCUGUCCAACUGUGGCUCACUGGGCACGAGCCCUGUCCCCACCUGCACACUGUGAGAGCCCUUGAGGGACAACAGGGGCAGGGGUAAGGGGUUUCUGCAGCUGCCCAGACCGGCUAGCAGGGGGGCGCUGUGGGACUAGAGGCUACCCUCUGGAGGCCUGGUCUCUGCUAUUCUGACCCAGGGAAGGAUGCCAAGCACUGUGUUUGCCGUUACUAUGUAUGCCCCCUUCCAGAAAAAUCACCUACUGCUUACAGGUCUAUGUAGUCUCAAGGACUGAGGGGAGUGGGGGCGCUUGUAAAGGUGAAGUUCCUGGUACAGAGCAGAAGUUUAGGUGGUAGCAUGGCCCAGUGUGCCAGCACAAAGGACAGUGGCCCCAGACCACCCCUGUGGCUUCCCUCCCCCCCAUACUUUGAAGGACUGACUGGGAGUAGGUGAGCAGGACCCAGAAAAAGGCAGAGACUAAUUCAAUGCAGUUGUAUCCUGACCUGCCUGGGGCUCAGCGCUGGGGGAGCUGCAGGGCUGGAGAAGCCUGGGCCUGGCCCCCUCUGUCCAAACUAAACACAAGUAUCACCUUCUAGCCAAGCCCUGACCUAAAGCACCAGGCACAGCCCCACCAGAAGAGAGUCCAUCACAACAUUUACAUAAAACAUUCAUGUACCUUAGGUUUGUUUUUUGACUUGUAGUGUCCUUAAGACGCAGUAAAAGUUGCUUUAAUUUUCCCAAGCACCUUAUUUUGCCGUACAAGAACCAGAAACACUAAGAUAUCCAGCUUAUCCAGAGGAAGAAGUCAGUGAGGCCUCCGCCACCCUCCAGCAGCCAACAAGAAGAGUUUGAGGCUGGGAGUGGCUGAGAUUGUUUGGAGGCGUCUCUUCUUUUGUCAGGCCACCCAGCUGAGGCGACCCAGGGCAGCCUGGAACAUGCCACAGGUGCUGCUUCUUAAAGUGCAAAGAGCCCUGGAGGACUAGGGGGCAUGUGGGCCUCUACCCCACACCCCCAUGCCCAGGGUACCUUAGUGUCAGGCUUUUCCACUGCAAAGGCCAUGGCCCAGCCUCGGGGAGCGAGGGGCAGCCAGUAUCUACAGCAGCCUUAGCAGGGUUGCUGUGUUUGAGGGCCAAAGGUGGGGCACGAGGAGGCCUCUCCCAGAGGAAGGCCAGUGGAAAAGCCAGGAAGGGCGGGGGAAGGCCAUGGGAGGAGGAUGGUGACAGGCAGGCAUGAUGCCCUCCUCACGACUCUGAUGGCCUUUGUACCUUUACCUCCUGUGGGCCCUGAUGGCCCGGGAACGCGAAGGACAGCCCUGCGUGGCGCUGCGGACCCCCACACUUGAGCGGUCCCUCAUACUGCCCACUUCCCACAAACACCCCUGCCAGCACCCCCUACAGCCCACGAUACAAAUGACUCCACUUCAACAGCAACCACACUAAACCACAUCCCAAGUGCACCCCAGCACCCGCGGCUGGCCUCCGCGCACACACGCCUGAGUGUCUCCACAGCACUGCAGUGGGUGCCCAGGCAGACCAGGAUCCAGGCUGGUCUCCCCAGCUCUUCCCAUCAAGGGCUCAAACUGAGUAUUCUUGGGGUAAGGAGACUCUAAUAACCUGACAUUAAGUGGGGCCCCAGCAGGGUCUCAGGCAAUCACCCCGGGCAUCCUUGUUUUGCUGUCACAAAGGGCCAAUUUU